GAGCUAACGCGUUAAGUAGACCGCCUGGGGAGUACGGUCGCAAGAUUAAAACUCAAAUGAAUUGACGGGGGCCCGCACAAGCGGUGGAGCAUGUGGUUUAAUUCGAUGCAACGCGAAGAACCUUACCUACUCUUGACAUCCAGAGAAUCCAGCGGAGACGCAGGAGUGCCUUCGGGAACUCUGAGACAGGUGCUGCAUGGUUGUCGUCAGCUCGUGUUGUGAAAUGUUGGGUUAAGUCCCGCAACGAGCGCAACCCUUAUCCUUUGUUGCCAGCGGUCCGGCCGGGAACUCAAAGGAGACUGCCAGUGAUAAACUGGAGGAAGGUGGGGAUGACGUCAAAUCAUCAUGGCCCUUACGACCUGGGCUACACACGUGCUACAAUGGCGCAUACAAAGAGAAGCGACCUCGCGAGAGCAAGCGGACCUCAUAAAGUGCGUCGUAGUCCGGAUUGGAGUCUGCAACUCGACUCCAUGAAGUCGGAAUCGCUAGUAAUCGUGAAUCAGAAUGUCACGGUGAAUACGUUCCCGGGCCUUGUACACACCGCCCGUCACACCAUGGGAGUGGGUUGCAAAAGAAGUAGGUAGUUUAACCUUCGGGAGGACGCUUACCACUUUGUGAUUCAUGACUGGGGUGAAGUCGUAACAAGGUAGCCCUAGGGGAACCUGGGGCUGGAUCACCUCCUUAUACGA
rnacentral:rRNA from 1 species